rnacentral:misc_RNA from 1 species
GAUGAAGAACGUAGCGAAACGCGAUAAGUAAUGUGAAUUGCAGAAUUUAGUGAAUCAUCGAACUUUUGAACGCACAUUGCGCCCCCUGGUAUUCCGGGGGGCAUGCCUGUCCGAGCGUCAUUACAACCCUCAAGCUCAGCUUGGUGUUGGGCCCCGCCGCCCCGGCGGGCCCUAAAGUCAGUGGCGGUGCCGUCCGGCUCCGAGCGUAGUAAUUCUUCUCGCUCUGGAGGUCCGGUCGUGUGCUCGCCAGCAACCCCCAAUUUUUUUCAGGUUGACCUCGGAUCAGGUAGGGAUACCCGCUGAACUUAAGCAUAUCAAUAAGCGGAGGA